CUGACGGAACGGGCGCAACCGACCCGUCUAGUAACACGGACCAAGGAGUCUGACACGUGUGCGAGUACCCGGGUGGCAAGCCCGCGUGCGCAAUGAAAGUGAAGGGCGUUCGGCGCCAACCGACCUUGAUCUUCUGUGAAGGGUUUGAGUGGAGCACACUUGUCGGGACCCGAAAGAUGGUGAACUAUGCCUGAGGAGGGUGAAGCCAGAGGAAACUCUGGUGGAGGCUCG
rnacentral:rRNA from 13 species